rnacentral:lncRNA from 1 species
CUAACUGCGCGGUCGUGUUCUGUUCCACUACGUGCUUAAUGUUACCUUAGUUUCCUAAAUUCUCUAAAUGAAUGGUGUUAAUUUGUUGUGCACAACCUUUGAUUUGUUUAAAUUUCAGUUUUGGGGUGCAGGCGUUUUUUCACUUCUUAUGACACUUUGGCCAGCUCGUCAAAUUGCAUAUUUGACUUGAAACCUUAAAACUUUAAACUUUAACUAUUAACCUCUAAACUUUAAACCUUAAAAUUAAUACCUUGACUGGCCAAGGUGGUCAUUCUCUAUACUAAGGUGACCUAUAUUUAUGCUCGGAACUGCCGCGCGUUAAAUUAAAUUGAAUUAUUAAUUACUACAAUUGAUUUCUACGUCUGUAAGCACUGCGCAGUAUGUGCACUUAAUCUUAAUUGAUUAAGUAUCUCGAGUAAUCGUCAACAUCUGCUGCCUUUCUGCCAAAUUAAAUUAAACCUGGACGCAGCUUUCUAUAAAUGGAUUUAAACUACUUUGAAUAUGAAGAAACUGCCCCGAAUAAGAAGCUUUGAAUAAAUUCUUAUUAAAAUGCCUUAAUUGAU